rnacentral:rRNA from 1 species
AAUUGACCUCGGAUCAGGUAGGGAUACCCGCUGAACUUAAGCAUAUCAAUAAGCGGAGGAAAAGAAACCAACCGGGAUUGCCUCAGUAACGGCGAGUGAAGCGGCAACAGCUCAAAUUUGAAAUCUGACCCUGUCGGGGUUCGAGUUGUAAUUUGUAGAGGAUGUUUCGGGCGCGAAGCCGGUCUAAGUCCCUUGGAACGGGGCGUCAUAGAGGGUGAGAAUCCCGUCUGUGACCGGCGAUCAAGCCUCUGUGAAACUCCUUCGACGAGUCGAGUUGUUUGGGAAUGCAGCUCAAAAUGGGUGGUAAAUUUCAUCUAAAGCUAAAUACUGGCCAGAGACCGAUAGCGCACAAGUAGAGUGAUCGAAAGAUGAAAAGCACUUUGGAAAGAGAGUCAAAAAGUACGUGAAAUUGUUGAAAGGGAAGCGCUUGCAACCAGACCUGCCCGCGGGCGAUCAGCCGUCCCUUCCAGGGCGGUGCACGCGCCCGCGAACAGGCCAGCAUCGGUUCGGGCGGCCGGAUAAAGGCCCGGGGAACGUAGCUCCUCUCGGGGAGUGUUAGAGCCCCGGGUGCAAUGCGGCCCGCCUGGACCGAGGACCGCGCUUCGGCUAGGAUGCUGGCGUAAUGGUUGUAAGCGGCCCGUCUUGAAACACGGACCAAGGAGUCUAACAUCUAUGCGAGUGUUUGGGUGUCAAACCCAUGCGCGUAAUGAAAGUGAACGGAGGUAGGAACCCACCAGGGCGCACUAUCGACCGAUCCUGAAGUCUUCGGAUGGAUUUGAGUACGAGCAUAGCUGUUGGAACCCGAAAGAUGGUGAACUAUGCCUGAAUAGGGUGAAGCCAGAGGAAACUCUGGUGGAGGCUCGCAGCGGUUCUGACGUGCAAAUCGAUCGUCAAAUUUGGGUAUAGGGGCGAAAGACUAAUCGAACCAUCUAGUAGCUGGUUUCCCAAGCCCGAAAAGUUUUUCCCCUUUCA